rnacentral:rRNA from 1 species
UGGGGAAUAUUGCACAAUGGGCGCAAGCCUGAUGCAGCCAUGCCGCGUGUGUGAAGAAGGCCUUCGGGUUGUAAAGCACUUUCAGCGGGGAGGAAGGCGUUAAGGUUAAUAACCUUGGCGAUUGACGUUACCCGCAGAAGAAGCACCGGCUAACUCCGUGCCAGCAGCCGCGGUAAUACGGAGGGUGCAAGCGUUAAUCGGAAUUACUGGGCGUAAAGCGCACGCAGGCGGUCUGUCAAGUCGGAUGUGAAAUCCCCGGGCUCAACCUGGGAACUGCAUUCGAAACAGGCAGGAUAGAGUCUUGUAGAGGGGGGUAGAAUUCCAGGUGUAGCAGUGAAAUGCGUAGAGAUCUGGAGGAAUACCGGUGGCGAAGGCGGCCCCCUGGACAAAGACUGACGCUCAGGUGCGAAAGCGUGGGGAGCAAACAGG